rnacentral:misc_RNA from 1 species
GACUGGGAAAGGCCAUGGCAGGUACGGUGUUUUUCCCCAUUUAGUUCCUAAUUUCGUGCUAUUAUAUACCCUCUUUGUCAUUUUCUAAUCUGCUCUCUUAAUAUCUACUUAUGUACUGUCAUAAAUAAUUUAAUUCUUAAGUUGUUUUAUAUGGAUUGUGACAGUUUGUUUCAUAUUUCCUGAUUUUAUCAUUUGUUGUCUUUUUCUAGUUAAGUUAGUGGAAUUGCAUUUGACAUUAUAUGCCCUGGCUUCAUCAUUUGUCCUAUGGAUGACGGACAUUAUAAAUUAUUUUACUAUACUCCCACGAAAUACUAAAGCUUUGAACCAUAGUAACAUGAUUUAGAUAUUAAAUACAUGAUUCUAAUGUCAACAAACUGAUGUUCUCUCGUACUGUAGAAGAGAUUUUAUUGUUUCUGUAGAAACUUCAUCAAGGGAGUAGAUGCUUGUGUGUGUGUUAUAAAUGUUUCUAGUCCACUAGGAUGUUCACUGGAGCUGUGCCCUCUUUACUUCCUCAUUUGUGUAUCUGGAACCGUGUUAGCACUUUAUUGCUUUUUGAGCAGGUACUUGGGUCAUCUGCAACUGCAUUCACUGAUAGAAUUGAACUAUAAAUUCAUCUUAAUACCAUUAUUCAAAACUUAUAGAAAAGGUGUCAAUUUUGGACAGCAGGAUUACACAUCUAAAACAUGACAAAAUUAUUGAUUUAAACCUGGAUCCAAUACAAUGUGGCCUUAAAAUUAAACAAUAUGGCCUGUUCUAGAGAUUGAUUGACUAUUGAAUAUUUUGAGUUAAACUAGAGAUAUUCAGACGUAAACCUGAAUGUGACACGGUAAUUUACACAAACACCACCAUGGACCUGAAUUGCUACCCUGAUUCCCUGAAUGUAGGUGGAUACUCAAUGACCUCAAUAUGUCCUUCAUAACGCUCUUGCAAAGCUAGACAUCCAUUUUCUUGUUCUUUAGUUCAUGGAAUGAAUGAGAGUAGAAUAGCUAUUUCUAGCUUUGUUUCAAAUUUUAAAUGCGGAAUAGCUAUUCACAAUCUCAACUUUUCAUUAAAA